GUUCAUACUCGUGGCGAAUAGCUCAGUAACACGUGGCCAAACUACCCUUCGGAACACAAUACCCUCGGGAAACUGAGGCUAAUAGUGUAUACCAUACCACCACUGGAAUGAGUGGUAUGCCAAACGCUCCGGCGCCGAAGGAUGUGGCUGCGGCCGAUUAGGUAGACGGUGGGGUAACGGCCCACCGUGCCAAUAAUCGGUACGGGUCAUGAGAGUGAGAACCCGGAGACGGAAUCUGAGACAAGAUUCCGGGCCCUACGGGGCGCAGCAGGCGCGAAACCUUUACACUGCACGACAGUGCGAUAGGGGGAUCCCAAGUGCACAGGCAUAGCGCCUGUGCUUUUCGACACCCUAAGGCGGUGUCAGAAUAAGGGCUGGGCAAGACCGGUGCCAGCCGCCGCGGUAAUACCGGCAGCCCAAGUGAUGGCCGAUCUUAUUGGGCCUAAAGCGUCCGUAGCUGGCCGCGCAAGUCCAUCGGGAAAUCCACCUGCUCAACAGGUGGGCGCCCGGUAGAAACUGCGUGGCUUGGGACCGGAAGGCGCGACGGGUACGUCCGGGGUAGGAGUGAAAUCCCGUAAUCCUGGACGGACCGCCGAUGGCGAAAGCACGUCGCGAGAACGGAUCCGACAGUGAGGGACGAAAGCCAGGGUCUCGAACCGGAUUAGAUACCCGGGUAGUCCUGGCCGUAAACAAUGCCUGCUAGGUGUGGCUCCCACUACGAGUGGGUGCUGUGCCGUAGGGAAGCCGCUAAGCAGGCCGCCUGGGAAGUACGUCCGCAAGGAUGAAACUAAAGAAUGC
rnacentral:rRNA from 1 species